GUCGAGGGGCAGCAUGAACUUAGCUUGCUAAGUUUGAUGGCGACCGGCGCACGGGUGAGUAACACGUAUCCAACCUGCCGAUGACUCGGGGAUAGCCUUUCGAAAGAAAGAUUAAUACCCGAUGGCAUAGUUCUUCCGCAUGGUAGAACUAUUAAAGAAUUUCGGUCAUCGAUGGGGAUGCGUUCCAUUAGGUUGUUGGCGGGGUAACGGCCCACCAAGCCUUCGAUGGAUAGGGGUUCUGAGAGGAAGGUCCCCCACAUUGGAACUGAGACACGGUCCAAACUCCUACGGGAGGCAGCAGUGAGGAAUAUUGGUCAAUGGACGAGAGUCUGAACCAGCCAAGUAGCGUGAAGGAUGACUGCCCUAUGGGUUGUAAACUUCUUUUAUACGGGAAUAAAGUGAGGCACGUGUGCCUUUUUGUAUGUACCGUAUGAAUAAGGAUCGGCUAACUCCGUGCCAGCAGCCGCGGUAAUACGGAGGAUCCGAGCGUUAUCCGGAUUUAUUGGGUUUAAAGGGAGCGUAGGCGGACGCUUAAGUCAGUUGUGAAAGUUUGCGGCUCAACCGUAAAAUUGCAGUUGAUACUGGGUGUCUUGAGUACAGUAGAGGCAGGCGGAAUUCGUGGUGUAGCGGUGAAAUGCU
rnacentral:rRNA from 1 species